rnacentral:rRNA from 1 species
GAUGAACGCUGGCGGCGUGCCUAAUACAUGCAAGUCGAGCGAACAGACGAGGAGCUUGCUCCUCUGACGUUAGCGGCGGACGGGUGAGUAACACGUGGAUAACCUACCUAUAAGACUGGGAUAACUUCGGGAAACCGGAGAUAAUACCGGAUAAUAUAUUGAACCGCAUGGAUCAAUAGUGAAAGACGGUUUUGCUGUCACUUAUAGAUGGAUCCGCGCCGCAUUAGCUAGUUGGUAAGGUAACGGCUUACCAAGGCAACGAUGCGUAGCCGACCUGAGAGGGUGAUCGGCCACACUGGAACUGAGACACGGUCCAGACUCCUACGGGAGGCAGCAGUAGGGAAUCUUCCGCAAUGGGCGAAAGCCUGACGCAGCAACGCCGCGUGAGUGAUGAAGGUCUUCGGAUCGUAAAACUCUGUUAUUAGGGAAGAACAAAUGUGUAAGUAACUAUGCACGUCUUGACGGUACCUAAUCAGAAAGCCCCGGCUAACUACGUG